CCUAUGAAAUCGAGUGGCAAACGGGUGAGUAACGCGUAAACAACCUGCCCUUCGGAUGGGGAUAACAGCCGGAAACGGCUGCUAAUACCGAAUACGAUCUUUUCGUCGCAUGACGGAAAGAAGAAAGGAUGGCCUCUAUACAAAGCUAUCGCCGAGGGAGGGGUUUGCGUCUGAUUAGCUGGUUGGAGGGGUAACGGCCCAACAAGGCGAUGAUCAGUAGCCGGUCUGAGAGGAUGAACGACCACAUUGGGACUGAGACACGGCCCAGACUCCUACGGGAGGCAGCAGUGGGGAAUCUUCCGCAAUGGACGAAAGUCUGACGGAGCAACGCCGCGUGAGUGAAGAAGGUCUUCGGAUUGUAAAACUCUGUUAUACGGGACGAAAAAGACGGAUGCCAACAGUAUCCGUCCGUGACGGU
rnacentral:rRNA from 1 species